rnacentral:rRNA from 1 species
CGUGUAGGCGGUUUGGCAAGUCGAGUGUGAAAUCCCACGGCUCAACCGUGGAACUGCGCUCGAAACUGCCUUACUUGAGUGCGGGAGAGGUGUGCGGAAUUCCUGGUGUAGCGGUGGAAUGCGUAGAUAUCAGGAAGAACACCGGUGGCGAAGGCGGCACACUGACCCAGCACUGACGCUGAGGCGCGAAAGCGUGGGGAGCGAACG